rnacentral:rRNA from 1 species
UAUCCGGAAUUAUUGGGCGUAAAGGGCUCGUAGGCGGUUCGUCGCGUGCCGGUGUGAAAGUCCAUCGCUUAACGGUGGAUCCGCGCCGGGUACGGGCGGGCUUGAGUGCGGUAGGGGAGACUGGAAUUCCCGGUGUAACGGUGGAAUGUGUAGAUAUCGGGAAGAACACCAAUGGCGAAGGCAGGUCUCUGGGCCGUUACUGACGCUGAGGAGCGAAAGCGUGGGGAGCGAACAGGAUUAGAUACCCUGGUAGUCCACGCCGUAAACGGUGGAUGCUGGAUGUGGGGCCCGUUCCACGGGUUCCGUGUCGGAGCUAACGCGUUAAGCAUCCCGCCUGGGGAGUACGGCCGCAAGGCUAAAACUCAAGAAAUUGACGGGGGCCCGCACAACCGGCGGA